AUUGAACGCUGGCGGCAGGCCUAACACAUGCAAGUCGAGCGGUAACACAGGGAGCUUGCUCCCGGGUGACGAGCGGCGGACGGGUGAGUAAUGUCUGGGAAACUGCCUGAUGGAGGGGGAUAACUACUGGAAACGGUAGCUAAUACCGCAUAACGUCGCAAGACCAAAGAGGGGGACCUUCGGGCCUCUUGCCAUCAGAUGUGCCCAGAUGGGAUUAGCUAGUAGGUGGGGUAAUGGCUCACCUAGGCGACGAUCCCUAGCUGGUCUGAGAGGAUGACCAGCCACACUGGAACUGAGACACGGUCCGGACUCCUACGGGAGGCAGCAGUGGGGAAUAUUGCACAAUGGGCGCAAGCCUGAUGCAGCCAUGCCGCGUGUAUGAAGAAGGCCUUCGGGUUGUAAAGUACUUUCAGCGGGGAGGAAGGCGAUAAGGUUAAUAACCUUGUCGAUUGACGUUACCCGCAGAAGAAGCACCGGCUAACUCCGUGCCAGCAGCCGCCGUAACAC
rnacentral:rRNA from 1 species